rnacentral:rRNA from 1 species
UACGGUCAAGCAGCAAUGCGCCUUUAGAUGAGCCUGCGUCCCAUUAUUAAUCCUAGUUGGCGGGGUAACGUGGCCCGACCAAGGGUACGAUGGGUAGCUGGUCUGAGAGGACGAUCAGCCACACUGGGACUGAGACACGGCCCAGACUCCUACGGGAGGCAGCAGUGGGGAAUAUUGCGCAAUGGGCGAAAGCCUGACGCAGCCAACCCGCGUGUGUGAUGAAGGCCUUCGGGUUGUAAAGCACUGUCGUGAGGGAAGAAGUUCUGACGGUACCUCACAAGAAAGCACCGGCUAACCCCGUGCCAGCAGCCGCGGUAAUACGGGGGGUGCAAGCGUUGCUCGGAAUCACUGGGCGUAAAGCGUCCGCAGGCGGGACGGUCAGUCGAAUGUGAAAGCCCGGGGCUCAACCCCGGAACUGCGUUCGAUACUGCCGUCCUCGAGUUCGGGAGAGGGGAGCGGAAUUCCUGGUGUAGAGGUGAAAUUCGUAGAUAUCAGGAGGAACACCAGUGGCGAAAGCGGCUCCCUGGCCCGA